rnacentral:rRNA from 1 species
CUACGGGGGGCUGCAGGCGCGAAACCUUUACAAUGCACGGAAGUGUGAUAAGGUUACCCGGAGUGCUAAGAGAGAAACUGUUAGCUGUUAUAGGUGUGUAAAUAACCCUAUGAGAAAGGAGAGGGCAAGGCUGGUGCCAGCCGCCGCGGUAAAACCAGCUCUUCAAGUGGUCGGGAAUUUUAUUGGGCUUAAAGUGUCCGUAGCCGGUUUGAUAAGUUCCUGGUUAAAUCUGACAGCUUAACUGUCAGUCGGCUAGGAAAUACUAUCUUACUAGAGGGUGGGAAAGGUCUGAGGUACUCCGGGGGUAGCGGUGGAAUGCGAUUAUCCUCGGGGGACCACCAGUGGCGAAGGCGUCAGACUGGAACACGCCUGACGGUGAGGGACGAAAGCCAGGGGAGCGAACGGGAUUAGAUACCCUCGUAGUC